CACACACAAGUAAGCUUAUUGAAGCUUAGUAAGCUCAUAGGCAUAUAAACACAAAUCAUAUCAAAUAUCGUACACAAUCAUAUAUCUAUUAGUUUAACUAUUUCAUCCUCCAAAUCACAAUUUCAUUAAUAACUCAUUGGAAUAAUUUUCAUAUGGCUACUCACAAUUUAACUCCCUUAGGCCCAUUUCUCAUUUACUUCAUUGUCAAAUUAGGGAACAAUAAGGGAAUUGAGUGCUUCAUUAUCACAUUGCCAUAGUAAACUAUGGACUUUCACAUUGUUACGCAUCACACACCGAAGCC
rnacentral:lncRNA from 1 species